rnacentral:rRNA from 1 species
AUUGAACGCUGGCGGCAGGCCUAACACAUGCAAGUCGAGCGAGCGGCGGACGGGUGAGUAAUGUAUGGGGACUGCCCGAUAGAGGGGGAUAAAUACUGGAAACGGGAACUAAUAACGCAUACUAUCGGAUAACCCAUAUGGGAUUAGCUAGUAGGUGAGGUAAUGGCUCACCUAGGCGACGAUCCCUAGCUGGUCUGAGAGGAUGAGCAGCCACACUGGGACUGAGACACUGCCCAGCCUCCUACGUAGGCAGCAUUGGGGAAUAUUGCACAAUGGGCGCAAGCCUGAUGCAGCCAUGCCGCGUGUAUGAAGAAGGCCCUAGGGUUGUAAAGUACUUUCAGUCGGGAGGCGUUACCGACAGAAGAAGCACCGGCUAACUCCGUGCCAGCCGCCGCGGUAAUAC